UAAUAAACAAGGGUACAGAUGGUAUU
rnacentral:piRNA from 1 species